rnacentral:piRNA from 1 species
UAAAAAGGUUAGCUUUCCAUUUAUUCUGGUC